rnacentral:rRNA from 1 species
GGUGAACGCUGGCGGCGCGCUUAAUGCAUGCAAGUCGAGCGUGACCUGAUGGGGCAACCUGUCGGGUUAAGCGGCAAACGGCUGAAUAACGCGUGAGCAACCUGCCCUUCGGUGGGGUACAGCCCCGACGAAAUCGAGGUUAAUCCCGCCAUACGAUCCCCACGGCCCUCGGUCUGGGGAGUGAAAGGCCCGAUUCGUCGGGUCGCCGGAGGAGGGGCGUCGCGUCCUAUCAGGUAGUUGGCGGGGAACGG